rnacentral:rRNA from 1 species
GGGGGGGGGGGGGGGGGGGGGGGGGGGGGCGAGUGGGGGGGUCGCGGGGGUUGGGGUGCUGACGCGGGGGGAACGGGGGAGUAGUGGGUGGGAACGUACGCAGAGGGGGGGGAUAACGCGGCGCAAGCUGUGGUACUAGCGCAUGUGAUCUGAGGAUGGAAGCGGGGGACCGAGCAGCCAUGUUUGUCCGCGGGCGUUGGGCGCGGCCUAUGUCGGAUUAGCUAGGUGGUGGGGUAAUGGCCGCCCCAGUCGAGGAUCCGUAGCUGGUCUGAGAGGACGACCAGCCCCACUGGGACUGAGACACGGCCCAGACUCCUAAGGGAGGCAGCAGUGGGGAAUUUUGGACAAUGGGCGCAAGCCUGAUCCAGCAAUGCCGCGUGCGGGAAGAAGGCCUUCGGGUUGUAAACCGCUUUGGGCAGGAACGAAAAGGUGUCCGCUAAUACCGGGCGCUAAGGACGGUACCUGCAGAAUAAGCACCGGCUAACUACGUG